ACACGUGAUUCAGAGUUUGAUCCUGGCUCAGAGUGAACGCUGGCGGUAGGCCUAACACAUGCAAGUCGAGCGGCAGCACAGUAAGAGCUUGCUCUUAUGGGUGGCGAGUGGCGGACGGGUGAGGAAUACAUCGGAAUCUACCUUUUCGUGGGGGAUAACGUAGGGAAACUUACGCUAAUACCGCAUACGACCUUCGGGUGAAAGCAGGGGACCUUCGGGCCUUGCGCGGAUAGAUGAGCCGAUGUCGGAUUAGCUAGUUGGCGGGGUAAAGGCCCACCAAGGCGACGAUGCAUAGCCGACCUGAGAGGGUGAUCGGCCACACUGGGACUGAGACACGGCCCAG
rnacentral:rRNA from 1 species